rnacentral:rRNA from 1 species
UGCGUAGGGGGCGAGCGUUAUCCGGAUUCAUUGGGCGUAAAGCGCGCGUAGGCGGCCGCCUAAGCGGAACCUCUAACCCCGGGGCUCAACCUCGGGCCGGGUUCCGGACUGGGCGGCUCGAGUGCGGUAGAGGAGAGCGGAAUUCCCGGUGUAGCGGUGGAAUGCGCAGAUAUCGGGAAGAACACCGAUGGCGAAGGCAGCUCUCUGGGCCGUCACUGACGCUGAGGCGCGAAAGCUGGGGGAGCGAACAGG